rnacentral:rRNA from 1 species
UACGAAGGGGGCUAGCGUUGUUCGGAAUUACUGGGCGUAAAGCGCACGUAGGCGGCUUUGUAAGUUAGAGGUGAAAGCCCAGGGCUCAACCCUGGAAUUGCCUUUAAGACUGCAUCGCUUGAACAUCGGAGAGGUAAGUGGAAUUCCGAGUGUAGAGGUGAAAUUCGUAGAUAUUCGGAAGAACACCAGUGGCGAAGGCGACUUACUGGACGAUUGUUGACGCUGAGGUGCGAAAGCGUGGGGAGCAAACAGG